rnacentral:rRNA from 1 species
CAAUAGCGUAUAUUAAAGUUGUUGCGGUCAAAAAGCUCGUAGUUGGAUUUCUGUUGAACUGAUCGGGUCGGCUCUUCGAGCUCGUAUCUCGCUUCGGUUUGGCAUCCUCGUAGGGAACGUUGCUGCGCUUCAUUGCGUGGUGCGGUAUCUACGACUUUUACUUUGAGGAAAUUAGAGUGUUCACGGCAGGCAAUCGCCUUGAAUAUAUUAGCAUGGAAUAAUAACAUAGGAUCUUCGUCCUAUUUUGUUGGUUUCUAGGGCUAAGAUAAUGAUUAAUAGGGAUAAUUGGGGGCAUCUGUAUCAACGCGUCAGAGGUGGAAUUCUUGGAUUGCGUUGCGACAAACUACUGCGAAAGCAUUUGCCAAGGAUGUUUUCAUUGA